rnacentral:misc_RNA from 1 species
GAUGAAGAACGUAGCGAAAUGCGAUAAGUAGUGUGAAUUGCAGAAUUCAGUGAAUCAUCGAAUCUUUGAACGCACAUUGCGCCCCUUGGUAUUCCAUGGGGCAUGCCUGUUCGAGCGUCAUUUGUACCUUCAAGCUUUGCUUGGUGUUGGGUGUUUGUCUCGCCUUUGCGUGUAGACUCGCCUUAAAAUAAUUGGCAGCCGGCGUAUCGAUUUCGGAGCGCAGUACAUCUCGCGCUUUGCACUCAUAACGACAGCGUCCAAAAGUACAUUUUACACUCUUGACCUCGGAUCAGGUAGGGAUACCCGCUGAACUUAAGCAUAUCAAUAAGCGGAGGA